rnacentral:rRNA from 1 species
UGGGCAACCUGCCCCUAGCUCUGGGAUAACUGCGGGAAACUGUAGCUAAUACCGGAUGUGACACGAGACUGCAUGGUCUUCGUGUGGAAAGAUUUAUCGGCUAGGGAUGGGCCCCGCGGUCUAUCAGCUUGUUGGUGGGGUAAUGGCUCACCAAGGCGACGACGGGUAGCCGGCCUGAGAGGGUGACCCGGCCACACUGGGACUGAGACACGGCCCAGACUCCGUACGGGGAGGC